UAGGGAAUCGUGCACAAUGGGGGAAACCCUGAUGCCGCGACGCCGCGUGCAGGAAGAAGGCCUUCGGGUUGUAAACUGCUUUUAUGAGGGAAGAUUAUGACGGUACCUCAUGAAUAAGGGGCUGCUAACUACGUGCCAGCAGCAGCGGUAAUACGUAGGCCCCAAGCGUUAUCCGGAAUUACUGGGCGUAAAGUGCGCGUAGGCGUUUUUGUAAGUCGGUCGUUAAAUCUCAGAGCUUAACUCUGAGACCGCGAGCGAUACUACAAGAAUUGAGUUUUGCAGGGGCUAGCAGAAUUUCUGGAGUAGGGGUGAAAUCCGUUGAUACCAGAAGGAAUACCAAUGGCGAAGGCAGCUAGCUGGGCAAUAACUGACGCUGAGAGCGCGAAAGCGUGGGGAGCAAACGGG
rnacentral:rRNA from 1 species